AGAGUUUGAUCCUGGCUCAGGAUGAACGCUAGCUACAGGCUUAACACAUGCAAGUCGAGGGGCAGCAUGAAAGUUUGCUUGCAAACUUUUGAUGGCGACCGGCGCACGGGUGAGUAACACGUAUCCAACCUGCCUCAUACUCGGGGAUAGCCUUUCGAAAGAAAGAUUAAUACCCGAUGUCAUAGUCCUACCGCAUGAUGGGAUUAUUAAAGAAUUUCGGUAUGGGAUGGGGAUGCGUUCCAUUAGUUAGUUGGCGGGGUAACGGCCCACCAAGACAACGAUGGAUAGGGGUUCUGAGAGGAAGGUCCCCCACAUUGGAACUGAGACACGGUCCAAACUCCUACGGGAGGCAGCAGUGAGGAAUAUUGGUCAAUGGACGAGAGUCUGAACCAGCCAAGUAGCGUGAAGGAUGACUGCCCUACGGGUUGUAAACUUCUUUUAUAUGGGAAUAAAAUGUUCCACGUGUGGGAUUUUGUAUGUACCAUAUGAAUAAGGAUCGGCUAACUCCGUGCCAGCAGCCGCGGUAAUACGGAGGAUCCGAGCGUUAUCCGGAUUUAUUGGGUUUAAAGGGAGCGUAGGUGGAUUGUUAAGUCAGUUGUGAAAGUUUGCGGCUCAACCGUAAAAUUGCAGUUGAAACUGGCAGUCUUGAGUACAGUAGAGGUGGGCGGAAUUCGUGGUGUAGCGGUGAAAUGCUUAGAUAUCACGAAGAACUCCGAUUGCGAAGGCAGCUCACUGGACUGCAACUGACACUGGGGGCUCGAAAGUGUGGGUAUCAAACAGGAUUAGAUACCCUGGUAGUCCACACAGUAAACGAUGAAUACUCGCUGUUUGCGAUAUACUGCAAGCGGCCAAGCGAAAGCAUUAAGUAUUCUACCUGGGGAGUACGCCGGCAACGGUGAAACUCAAAGGAAUUGACGGGGGCCCGCACAAGCGGAGGAACAUGUGGUUUAAUUCGAUGAUACGCGAGGAACCUUACCCGGGCUUAAAUUGCACCUGAAUAAUGUGGAAACAUGUUAGCCGUAAGGCAGGUGUGAAGGUGCUGCAUGGUUGUCGUCAGCUCGUGCCGUGAGGUGUCGGCUUAAGUGCCAUAACGAGCGCAACCCUUAUCUUCAGUUACUAACAGGUCAUGCUGAGGACUCUGGAGAGACUGCCGUCGUAAGAUGUGAGGAAGGUGGGGAUGACGUCAAAUCAGCACGGCCCUUACGUCCGGGGCUACACACGUGUUACAAUGGGAGGUACAGAAGGCCGCUACCUGGCGACAGGAUGCCAAUCCCCAAAACCUCUCUCAGUUCGGAUCGAAGUCUGCAACCCGACUUCGUGAAGCUGGAUUCGCUAGUAAUCGCGCAUCAGCCAUGGCGUGGUGAAUACGUUCCCGGGCCUUGUACACACCGCCCGUCAAGCCAUGAAAGCCGGGGGUACCUGAAGUACGUAACCGCAAGGAUCGUCCUAGGGUAAAACUGGUAAUUGGGGCUAAGUCGUAACAAGGUAACC
rnacentral:rRNA from 1 species